rnacentral:lncRNA from 1 species
GUAGGGGGCAAUUCGUUGGUUAUUAUCCAGAGAAGCUCUCAGGAGCAAUAAUGCUCUUGGUCGCAACUCUGAAAACCAGGGCAGCAGGCUGAGGAGCAGCCUCCACCGGUCAUGGCAAUGUUCCCAGAUCCAUGGAGCUCCAGGAGGUAGCAGGGCAAUGGGUUUCCUACCGUGUGACCCCGGGGUGAGGAGCCAGUUGGUGAGGUCCCGCACAGUGAGUUGAACAAGUGCAGUCUCCAGUAUGAUGGAAGUUCUUGGUGAAAGACAGCGGCCGCACUUUAUCAACAAGGGCGUGGCUGCCAGAUGGUGGCUCAGUCCCCGGGUUCCAUGAUGCUCCAGAACACAGAAACCUUGGCUCUGUGGUCCUGGGUGGUGGGGAAUGGAGUGGAGGUCCUGGAAAAGGAGUUGACAGAGCGAACUGAAUCUCUUAUGCACAGAAAGGAAGAAGAGCAUUGCAGAACAGUUAGGAGAAGACCAACAUAUCCAGGCUGUUAAUUUUUGACGGGAAUACCACAAAUAUGAUGCCGUGUUCUUCUUAGUACGUCAUAUCAGGAGGCACAUGCUGACACUUCAUCCUAUAUCCAGUGAUGUUGACUUUUACAACUUAGGGGCCUUGAGCCAGGCAGGAGCAUGCACAGAAGAGAUAAUUUUGAUCUGCCAAUCGAAACUCAUCCUGUCAUCACUUCCAUAUACCAGACUGCCCUCCUGAUCCCUUAAACAUUACCCCAUACCUUGGAUGGGGGAGGCAGAGUUGAGAGCCUGUCCUUCUGUCUCCUUACUAAUUGAUUGUGUAAUAAACUGC